rnacentral:tRNA from 2 species
UAGCUCAGCUGGGAGAGCGUCUGCCUUACAAGCAGAAUGUCGGCGGUUCGAUCCC